rnacentral:lncRNA from 1 species
AUGCGGCUUCCCCCUCACAUCUGGGCACGCAGACCCUCCCCUCAGCCACCCCAGCAAGCCCGGAGAGCCUCAGCGAAGCCCCAGGUCCGGAAAGGUGGUGGGGGACCAGCACCUGUCCUCAGCCCGUCUGGACCAACCUUUCCCGAAAAGCCGGAGGCGAGCUGUGUGAUCCUGGCAGUGACUGGCCAAGUGCUACCACAGGAAGUGUUGCUGACUCUUCAAACGGCCAUGAAAACUUGCAACCUGAAACCCCAGAAAAAAUCUGCAGUCUGUCCAGAGUGUGGGUUGUGUGUCACCUCGAACCUGACCUUGUCAUUUCAAGGAUGGCCAGGCGUUCUCCCUCCAUACACCUCACCACACCCAGCUGGACUCCCCUCUUGCCCCUGCCCUUACGUGGGCAGGGCUGGGCCUCCAGGACCAGGCAGCCUGUAUGCCGGGCGCCCCCUGGUGGUUGGGGAACCCCAGCCUUGUGAGCCCCAAGAAUUGGAGAAGACCAGAGUAUUGGGGGAUAUUGAGCUCUGCUGCAGACCCCAACAGGGGCAUCUGACCCCAUUCUGCCUUCCUGGGAGCAGGAGGCUGAGGCAGGAGGAUCGCUUGAGGCGAAGACUUUGGGCCCACUGUGGCUGAAGAAAGGAGGCCUGAACCCAUUGCUGCAAAGGAUCCUGCCUCUUUCUGGGGCCCCCAGACUCCUGGCCAUCUUCAGGGUUAAUAAAGCUGCUUUUUAAUAACAGCUUUACUAUGUAUAAUUCACAUACUACAUAAUUCACCCAUUUAAAGUGUACAAUGCAGUGGUUUUUAGUAUAUUCACAGAGUUAUGCAACAUUACCACAGUCAAUUUUAGAACACUUUCUUCACCCCAAAAAGGAACCCCACACCCAUUAGCAGUCACUCCCCAUCUCCCUUCCUCUCAGCCCCAGGCAACCACUCAUUUACUUUCUGUCUCUGUGGAUUUGCUGCUGUGGCCUUCCGUGUCCGGCUUCUCUCACUGAUCUCACGUUUGUUUUUUUUUUUUUUUUUUUUGAGACAGAGUUUCACUUUGUUGCCCGGGCUAGAGUGAGUGCCGUGGCAUCAGCCCAGCUCACAGCAACCUCAGAC